AUGAAUAGUUAUGUAUUUAUAUUGGCAAAUAUAAAGAGAAUUAUUAUAAAGAAUCGACUCAUGCAAUUAUGGAUGCUAAAAAGUCUCAAGCAGUGGCCACAGGACUGGAAAAGGUCAGUUUUCAUUCCAAUCCCAAAGAAAGGCAAUGACAAAGAAUGCUCAAACUACUGCACAGUUGCACUCAUCUCACACACUAGUAAAGUAAUGCUCAAAAUUCUCCAAGCCAGGCUUCAGCAAUACGUGAACCAUGAACUUCCAGAUACUCAAGCUGGUUUUAGAAAAGGCAGAGGAACUAGAGAUCAAAUUGCCAACAUCCACUGGAUCAUGGAAAAAGCAAGAGAGUUCCAGAAAAACAUCCAUUUCUGCUUUAUUGACUAUGCCAAAGCCUUUGAUUAUGUGGAUCACAAUAAACUGUGGAAAAUUCUGAAAGAGAUGGGAAUACCAGACCACCUGACCUGCCUCUUGAGAAAUCUGUAUGCAGGUCAGAAAGCAAAAGUUAGAACUGGACAUGGAACAACAGACUGGUUCCAAAUAGGAAAAGGAGUACGUCAAGGCUGUAUAUUGUCACCCUGCUUAUUUAACUUAAAUUCAGAGUGCAUCAUGAGAAACAUUGGGCUGGAGGAAGCACAAGCUGGAAUCAAGAUUGCUGGGAGAAAUAUCAAUAACCUCAGAUAUGCAGAUGACACCACCCUUAUGGCAGAAAGUGAAGAAGAACUACAGAACCUCUUGAUGAAAAUGAAAGAGAGCAAAAAAGUUGGCUUAAAGCUCAGCAUUCAGAAAACUAAGAUCAUGGCAUCUGGUGUUGUCUCUUCAUGGCAAAUAGAUGGGGAAACAGUGGCUGACUUUAUUUUUCUGGGCUCCAAAAUCACUGCAGAUGGUAACUGCAGCCAUGAAGUUAAAAGAUGGUUACUCCUUGGAAGGAAAGUUAUGACCAACAUAGACAGCAUAUUCAAAAGCAGAGACAUUACUUUGUCAACAAAGGUUCGUCUAGUCAAGGCUAUGGUUUUUCCAGUGGUCAUGUAUGGAUGUGAGAGUUGGACUGUGAAGAAAGCUGAGCGCCAAAUAAUUGAUGCUUUUGAGCUGUGGUGCUGGAGAAGACUUUUGAGAGUCCCUUGGACUGCAAGGAGAUCCAACCAGUCCAUCCUAAAGGAGAUCAGUCCUGGGUGUUCAUUGGAAGGACUGAUGUUGAAGCUGAAACUCCAAUACUUUGGCCACCUCAUGUGA
rnacentral:lncRNA from 1 species